ACCAAUACCCAAGGAUUUCACUCUUCAAGUUAAUGGAAAUGAGACGUAUUCUACAGGCAGUUGGCAAGAUACUUUUGACAAAUGUUGACUGGAGAACUGGCAGUCCUGGGAAAUCAAUUAUCCCCAUCUCUCUGAACAGUUUUCCAUUAGGUUAUGCCAUACGUAAAUAAUGAGAAGACUGAAGAGGAUCCUGAACUCUCCGGAGAGCUUCAGUCAGCAAUCACACCUACCACUUCUGGAGAAGAAAACAGAAAGAAUUUUAAAACCUUAGAGAAGAAGAUCUCUGCAGUUUGGGACAAAGAGGGAAGAAGCAGUGUAUUAAUCUAUCAACUAACAACAACAAUUAUGAUCUUUGUGCCUUGCAUCGAUAUAAUACUUCUACAUGUUAAACUCUUUCACAUCUGGGAUCUCACUUCAUCUUCGCAACAACCCUGUGCAGAAUGAAAGGCAAAUGUUAUUAUCCCCAUUAUAUGAGGUGUAAUGUGACUGAAGUUUUAAAAAAUCCCAUAACUUUACAGAAUCAUGAAACCUCAAAUUUGGAAGGUACCUCAGAGGCCGUUGACUCCAACCCAUGCUCAAACAGGAAUCACCUUUACAACAUCCCCGAGAAAUGGUUCGUCAGUCUUGGCUCAAAGGCCUCCAGUGAUGGAGAAUCCACUCACUACAUUCUGAAGGAGUUUAUGCCAUUUGGGGGUAACUCUAAUUAUUUAGAAGUUUUUCCCUGUAUUGGGCCAAAAAUCUCCCUCUCUGUAACUUUG